rnacentral:rRNA from 1 species
AGAGUUUGAUCCUGGCUCAGAACGAACGCUGGCGGCAGGCCUCAAACAUGCAAGUCUAGGGGGCGUAGCAAUACGUCACCGGCGGACGGGUGCGUAACACGUGGGAAUGUACUUAUUGGUUCGGAACAACUCAGGGAAACUUGAGCUAAUACCGAAUGUGCCCGUAAGGGGAAAGAUUCAUCGCCAAUAAAUCAGCCCGCGUCCGAUUAGCUAGUUGGUGGGGUAAAGGCUCACCAAGGCGACGAUCGGUAGCUGUUCUGAGAGGAAGAUCAGCCACACUGGGGCUGAGACACGGCCCAGACUCCUACGGGAGGCAGCAGUUGGGAAUCUUGGACAAUGGGGGAAACCCUGAUCCAGCCAUGCCGCGUGAGUGAUGAAGGCCUUAGGGUUGUAAAACUCUUUCGGCGGGGACGAUAAUGACGGACCCGCA